rnacentral:pre_miRNA from 13 species
AGUCUUGUUUGGUAGCCAAGGAUGACUUGCCUGCUCCCUUCAAGGAGGUUUCAUGAAAUGCAGACAUGAUCUCUCGAAACCCCUGUUGGGUUUCAGGCGGUCUCCUUGGCUAACUUGACAGGCUCU